rnacentral:rRNA from 1 species
CCUACGGGAGGCAGCAGUGGGGAAUAUUGCACAAUGGGGGGAACCCUGAUGCAGCAACGCCGCGUGGGUGAAGAAGUACCUCGGUAUGUAAAGCCCUGUUAGCAGGGAAGAAAAUGACGGUACCUGACCAAGAAUCCCCGGCUAACUCCGUGCCAGCAGCCGCGGUAAUACGUAGGGGGCAAGCGUUAUCCGGAUUUACUGGGUGUAAGGGGGGCGUAGACGGCAAGGCAAGUCUGGAGUGAAAGCCCGUGGCUCAACCACGGGACUGCUUUGGAAACUGUGUGGCUGGAGUGCAGGAGGGGUAAGCGGAAUGCCUAGUGUAGCGGUGAAAUGCGUAGAGAUUAGGAGGAACACCGGUGGCGAAGGCGGCUUACUGGACUGUAACUGACGUUGAGGCUCGAAGGCGUGGGGAGCAAACAGGAUUAGAUACCCGAGUAGUC